GGUUAUGGCUCAGCGGUAGAGCGCUCACCUCACAACAUGUGAGGUCCUGAGUUCGAUUCUCAGCACCA
rnacentral:tRNA from 1 species